GUCAAGUCAGUAUGGCCCUUACGGCCAGGGCUGCACACGUACUACAAUGCCCGGUACAGAGGGAAGCAAGACCGCGAGGUGGAGCAAAUCCCCAAAAACCGGGCUCAGUUCAGAUUGUAGUCUGCAACUCGACUACAUGAAGCUGGAAUCGCUAGUAAUGGCGCAUCAGCUACGGCGCCGUGAAUACGUUCCCAGGCCUU
rnacentral:rRNA from 1 species